ACGCACGCUGGCGGCAUGCCUCACCCCUGCCAGUCGCACGCGACCUUCGGGUCUAGUGGCGCACGGGUGCGUAACGCGUGGGAACCUGCCCUUAGGUUCGGAAUAACUCCCCGAAAGGGGUGCUAAUACCGGAUAAUGUCUUCGGACCAAAGAUUUAUCGCCUUUGGAUGGGCCCGCGUUGGAUUAGCUAGUUGGUAGGGUAAAAGCCUACCAAGGCGACGAUCCAUAGCUGGUCUGAGAGGAUGAUCAGCCACACUGGGACUGAGACACGGCCCAGACUCCUACGGGAGGCAGCAGUGGGGAAUAUUGGACAAUGGGCGAAAGCCUGAUCCAGCAAUGCCGCGUGAGUGAUGAAGGCCUUAGGGUUGUAAAGCUCUUUUACCCGGGAUGAUAAUGACAGUACCGGGAGAAUAAGCUCCGGCUAACUCCGUG
rnacentral:rRNA from 1 species